GAAAAGUCUAGGGUAGAAGAUGGAGCCGAGGAGGUAUGAUGUGAAGAAUGAGGAUAAUCUCGAUGAUGAUAAUGGUAGGCUGGAACUUGGAUGUGCAUUGGCAGGUCUGCAUUGGCAGACCAGAUGUCACCAUACAGACAACAAUAUCCUACAGGACAGAAAAGCUUGAAAGUAAAAGAAACUUUGGUGUUUGAAUAAACCACACAUUUGUCCUGGACAACCUGCCUAUCGUUGAACUGUUACAUGAGAGAAAAAGAGAUUUCUCUCUUAUUUGAACAAUUGCAUUUUCAAGUCUUUUUGUUACAGCAGCAUAACUGAUACCCUAACCCUGACAAAUACAUUUUUAAACAAAAGGAGGAAUGCUACUAUCGUACUCUAUGCUGGUCCAGUCUUACUUGGGGUGCAGUAUUCUCAUCUGUGAAUCACAUUUCAAGGGGCCUAAAGACAAAGUAGAAGUGUUCAGAUAACAGCAACAUGAUUGGUGAGAAAUUCAAAGUUGAAGAAACUGGAAGAGCAGAUUUAGAGUAAGUAGGAGUGCCACUUUCAAAUGUCUGAGGAACUGGCCUGUGAAAGAAUGAUUCACUUUGUUCUGUGUAGUUUCAGUAGAUAGAAGUAUGGUUCAACGGGAAAACUGAUUUUGCUGAAGAGAAAGAUUUCUGGCUGUCAGGUCUGCAUAGACAUUGGAGGCACUGAGUUCCCUGCUCAUGGAGAUAUUUUUCACAGAGCCUGGAUAAUCAUUUGGCUGGAUUUGUAACAACUGUGUAUCAUACAGCAUGAAAAUGCAUUUUCUAGCUUCCCUUGAAGUGAAAUGUGAGCAAAAAUGAUGCCAGCCACUCCCAGACCGGCCCAUAGAAACCUCCCAUAUUCUUUCUUCUUCUGCUGCUGGAUAUUGACACAGGGGAUGACUUUGAAAGCUGAGUAUUGAAGAUGGCAGAAGCUGUCUUUCAGCCUUGGUCCCUGAACAACAUGUUGAGCAGAUCCCGUGGUAAUCUGGAACUGCCCUGGACUGUGUAAAGGAAUCAACUUCUUUAUACAACAAUGGCAGAGAAGUUCUACAAUAUGGAGUCCUGUGAUAAAAGCAGAUCAUUCUCCAUAAUGUGGGUGUCCUCAUCCAAUCAGUUGAAAGCCUGAAAAGAACAAAAAGCAGAUCUUUCUUGAGCAAGAAGGAUUCUCCAACAGACUGCCUUCAGACUUCAUCUGCAGCAUCGGCUCUUCCUGGUUCUGCAGUAAACUGUUCCUGGACUUGACUACAGCUCUUUCUCGAGUCUCCAGCCUGCUGGCUUCGUCUAUGAGAUUUUGUACUCACCAGGCAUCCACAAGCACAUGAGCCAAU
rnacentral:lncRNA from 1 species